AAAGGCUGUUUUAUCUACUUUGAAGUGCUUUCAGAUGUUUUAUCCAUUGAUCUGUUAAAUUUCCUCCAUUUCUAGCUGAUAGCAUGGAGUUUGGUGGUCUUCUUCCAUGGCUCAUCUUCUGCUCUACUUGUUCUCCUUUCUGGGUCGAAUUGAGUCCAUAAUCUCUAAGUUUUUCUUGUGUUGGACUAUUGACAUUAGGCUUCUCUCAAGGCUUUUAAAUAUUUCUGAGUCAAGAAUGUAACUCUUUCUAAUAAUAAUAUUUUUUAUAUGCUUGAUUAAAAAUCCCGUAAGCUUGUAAAAAAAAUUAUUUUGGCUGAAUUUAUAUAAAUUUAUAAUAUAAAAUUAUAAUAAAAUCAAAUUAAAUUCAAUCACAUUACUAGAAAAUAAGAAACAAACAGACACCACUGCCCUCUGGAUACCAUUCGUUCACCACCAUCCAUCACAGCAAAACGAACAUUCCGACCAUCACAGAAUCAAUGACUACACAAGCCAAUCUAUGGAGCCCAACAAAAAGGCUGAUCAGCAAAAAAGAAACAGAAACAACAACAUGCAAACACAAGCAAUCUCAUCGCACUUUGAUCCAUUCUGACAAGAAGAGACGUGCCAGAGCGUAGCCGGUAUCUACCGGCUGAUGGGAGUAAAAUUACCGGACGCAUUGAUGUGGUCCCACGAUGCCCACGUCAAGGUUCAACCGAUCUUCCCGAAAGUCAAAUCCAAACUCUCUGAUACCAUAUAUCCACAAAAUUUUCCUCACUUUGCAGCGUCGGACCUGAACAAAACAAAGUAAAAAAAGAAGAAAAACAACUUCUACCCACGGUGAGAGAAGACCAAGGGUAGAGGUCCAGGAAAAUAAAACAAGAAAAAUAAGAAUAGAAACAAACCCUCCCUGUCUGAAGACAGAAAAAAGGGACCAAAGACUCCGAAUGAAAAAGCAAAGAAGCACCAAAGAAAAAUCCAAACAACAACACUCAAACAGCAACCAGAGCUCCCGUCAAACCGCUACCCACACGCCACCCAAAUGAGACAAUUGCUAGACAAAAUCAUUUACGUCCCCAUUGUCGCCGACUCACACACCCCUGCACGCACGCACGCUUUGCGCUCUCUCCCUUCCCCUUCUUGCGCUCUCGAGAAGCUUCAAAGAGAAUGUUUCUAAAUUAAUUGUGUGCCUUUAGAAACAAAAGGCAAAAUCAAGAAC
rnacentral:lncRNA from 1 species